ACCUACGGGGGGCAGCAGUGGGGAAUAUUGCACAAUGGGCGAAAGCCUGAUGCAGCGACGCCGCGUGAAGGAUGAAGUAUUUCGGUAUGUAAACUUCUAUCAGCAGGGAAGAAAAUGACGGUACCUGACUAAGAAGCCCCGGCUAACUACGUGCCAGCAGCCGCGGUAAUACGUAGGGGGCAAGCGUUAUCCGGAUUUACUGGGUGUAAAGGGAGCGUAGACGGCGAUGCAAGCCAGAUGUGAAAGCCCGGGGCUCAACCCCGGAACUGCAUUUGGAACUGUGUGGCUG
rnacentral:rRNA from 1 species